GUGAGUCAGACUCUUGGGAUUAGUGGCCACCAACUCUGUCCUUCCCCCAGCUGAGUCACCUCUAAGGCAGGGAGGGGAUUCUUUGGGGCUGAACAGGAAACAUACACAGAGUCCACCCAAGUUCCAUUCUCAGAGGCAAGAAUAAGUAGGGAAUGCCUGAAGUCAGGACAGAUAUCAGAGGCAGCUCCCCUCCGGUGAUCAUCCUGGCUGGUCCUGGAGACCUGUGCUCACUUCCUCAAGACUAGGGCCCCUGGACCAGGCCGUCUUCUUCUAAGGACAUGCCCUCCCCCAGCACACACAACACAGAAAUUGUCAAGCAGUUUAUACAUCCAACCCAGAAUCGGCAAGGGAAAUGCAACCACAGGUGAGGCGAAGAAAAACGUCUCAACGGCCAACGCAAGCAGCAAGCAGAGCCUUCAUCCAGUAGCUGAUGGAAGCAGAAGCAGACACCCACAGCUAAACACUGAGCUGAACUCCUGGAAUCGAAUUGCAGAGAGGGAGGAAUGUUACAGAACACAGAUCAGAAUGCUGGGAACCAAGAAUUGGGAAAUU
rnacentral:lncRNA from 1 species